ensembl:lncRNA
CACAGGGAAAGGGAGAGAAGAUAGUGUAAGACAUCUCUGGCAGCUAUUACUCAGCUUCAGCAACAAUAAGUUCCAUGAGGUGAAUGCAUGUAUGAGCAGUCAGAGUCUUGAAAGAAAGAGAUGAUAUUUUGAAGGUACGGGCUGUGUCUGGGGACUUAAUAAGAGAUAGUAAAGGGCCCUGAGCUCCAAACAAUGAAGACUGCCACCAACCCUGAGCUCAAAGGCAUGAGAGGAGGCAGCCGUUAUUGCAACCCUGAGAGGCUGUCUGUCUGGACGGAUGACCUUCAGUAAAAAGACCUCUUCAACUCUGACCACCUGGCAAGGAGAGAUUCUAAGACGUGGAUGAAACACAGUCAGAACCCGAGAAUGCCAUGAGUUUGGGAAACUCAAGACUUGGAGAUGCUGGGUCCUAAUGGCUCAUGGUUGAUAUUUUGCCCAACUGUAUUAAUUAGGGUUGCUUGAGGAGUCAAAUAUGCAACCAUUUCAAUAAAAUGUGGCAAUUUCUACAAUUGAAGUGUGUAUGGAAAUCAUUGGGAAGAGGUCUUGAAUUUGGCCAGCGGGAACUGGAGAAAUUUCUUUUCAGAGGUAAACUGUCAGUUGAGUGCUGAGCAUGAGGUGUUCUCUGCAUGUACAAGUGAAAGUGGGGAAUGUUAACCUGAGCUAUUUUGUUACUCAUCCAUCAGACAAGCAUUUCUUGACCAUCUUUUGUGUGCUGGGCAUUGUGGUAUGAAGAUAUGGUCUUAGACACAAAGGAGAUGCUUGAGGAGAGAAAGACAAAUAGGCGCUGGCUGAGUAAUACAUUGCCCUGAAACCCAUAAGCCAGGAGGCGAAAGAAGUUUCAAGGAAGUUAAGCCAGAAGUGUUGGAAAGCAUGCAGUUAUCGGCAUACAUUGAUGGGGAUUUUCAUUAACAAUUUUUAUUUCUGUGAAUUGCAGAGCCAUCACCCCCUUUCUUAUGGAGUUCCGCUGACAGCUGCUACUUCACACCUUCCUUCCAGCUGGGAGGGUGGGCUGAUGGCUGCAUGCAUAUGCGCCUAACACAGAGUAGCUCCUUAGCCAGCAACCUGGGCAUCAGCUUCCUCCUGGAGCCCACAUGUGUCACCUUCAGGUCUCCUGGGACUCCCGUCAUUUCUGUGAAUUCAUCAGGAGGCUCUGGUAGAAGGCAGGAGGCCAAGCAGGCUAACCGGUGACUGGGAACAAAGGCCGGUUCAGGAGGAGUCACUCACCAGCGUGCUAAAGAACGCUUCCUUUCUCCUCCAUAACGUGUUUAAACCCUAAAGAUUCAGUGAAUAGCUUUCGGUGCUCAGAAAAUAAAUGUGAAGGGAUAACAGAAAGGCAAGAUUUUUUUUAAAAUUGAUUUUAACAGACAUUUAUAAAAUAAUUGUAUGUAAAGGCUUGCCCAUGUUAUAGGGUAAACUCGUAAUUUCAGUAGAAAUAAUAAUUCUCAAGUAUAGUACUAUAACUAGUAACCCUCAAAUUCCUCAGCUCCCAUGGGAAGAUAUUACAAUCUGACUAAUCUCAUCACUAAACAUUAGAUGCUAGUCUGGACAAAAUUAGACUCAAUUAUUGUUAUGGUGUGACAGCUAUAGUCUAACACAUAUUGAAAAUAUUCUGUGUGGCAUAUUAACUGGUAUAAUCCAAUGAGCUCAUGAAGAAUUUUUAUAGUUCAUUUCUAGCAAACUGAAACAUUGCUUUUACUUUUCAAUCAUUGAAACAUAAACAUCAAAGUGCUUCUUAAAACAGUUUAUCAUUUUCUUACCACCUUUUGUCAUCUAGCUCCUUGGGAAACAAAUAAGAAGACUGGGAAAUAAUCUGUACUUAACUGCCCCUGAGGUGAUAGUGAAGCUUCCCCCGUCUCCAGGUACCACUGACCCUUUUAAAAUAAUAGCCCAGUCUCCACCAG